AAAAUUUUAUUGCUAUAAUUUUUCUGAAUUUCGGAACGUAUUUAAUAAAUUCUGUUUUAUCUAUGGUAUGGAUAUUUACUUUGCAAUAAUUUUCAUGACAUGAGACUACAUUUUGCUGCAAUUACAAGCGAUUUGAUCUGGUUUUGUUAUAAUUUCGUUUCAAUUUUAUGCGAAUAGGUACUGAGUUUAUAAAAGUAACAUAAUAUUGUCUUGUACUUAUAUAAUUAGUUUUUGUGUAUUUCGGAUUCCGUUUACAUCUAGGUACCUACUAUGUCGGGGUCCUACGAGAAAGCUGGCGUAUCAACGCCACGAAUAUUCAGGCGCCCGUAAAUCGUCAAAACGAGUGAAAAGCGCAUUCAGUUGGAUACAUGUGGACGACAAGAUAGUAAACCUGUAAAUUAUAACUCAAGUUGUGGCCAGCUUCAUUGUAAACAAACUUUAGUUUUCAAGUUCAAGGACAAAUGCGUGUCAGUAACAUGGAUGAAUGCUACUUCAUAUGUUUUAUUUCAGUCAAUGAACCUUUGACUGUUAUAGAAGUUUGUCGAGAUAAUAUAAUGACUUUAUCAGCAAUAUGAUGCCAAAGUUAAUACACUUUUUUAAAGAAUGUAUUCUGCCAGAAAUAGUUUUGAGACAUGUUCAAAAAAUGCGAAAUGUAUACCUAGGUAUGAAAGCAGCUGUGUAGCGGUAGUUUCCAGGCAAUAAUGAGGAAGGAUGAGUGAAAACAACACAACAAAUGUUUUUUUAUUGUACUAUUAUAGUAGUGUGUUUAGAAUCUACAUUAUCAAUGUUUACAGUCAUGUUUUUUUUGAUGUCAGAAAACUGAAAUGGUGUACUCGUCGUAAUGAACAUAAUGUUCAUAAUGUGAUAUGAAUACAUUGACCUAUUUUAAGGUUUCUGAAACACAAAACGGAAA